GAUUCCUGGCGGGUAGCAUAGGUUCUGAGCUUUUCUUUCAGCUAGGUUACAGACUGGGUCCUCUACAAGUCGGCUAGUUCGCUGGGCCAGAAGAAAGGAACUGCGGACACCAUUCAGGAUCUGAGAAGCAGAUCCCAAUGCAGUGAGCAUUGACAAAUAAGCUGGAGAAGAGUGGGCCUUGUGGAAGAUGUGUAACGUAAAUUAAGCCUUGACAGGGGAAACCAGCCCAAAAGGAAGCUGUGGAAAUGCAGCUCUGGCUAUGCAAACCAGAGGAAGACUGCAAAGACAUGCAUGGCCUAGGAUCAUCCUGAAACCUCAUGAAGACUUAUUUUGGGGGCACAGGAGGCAGAUGUUCAUGAUACAUUGUUACAUGAAAGAAGUUGUGUAUACUAUAAGCACAUUUGGAUAAAAAUGUAUGUACUUAGCAAAGUGAAAAGACAAAUGAUGUCUAUCAAAGAGUAACAAUGGUUAUUUCUACAUAGUGCAUGAUUAUUGAUUUCACUUAAGUAUAACCCCCUUGUUUUUUUUUUUUUAUGUGUUCAUUUUCUACACUAAAGAUUAAUUUUGAAAAGGCGCUUAGGAGAUGAGGGAAUUACUGGCCCCAGAACCACCUGUACAUACUUCCCAAAGCAUUAUUCUGGCAAAGCCGAUGUUUCUGGUUCAGCCUCACGAAGGAUUUCAAAUAUGGUUUGAAGUUGACAGUUUAUUUAUUUAUACCAUUAACACAGUUGAUUGACUGCAGUGCUUCCCAACAAUGAAAAACUUGGUGGAUUAACCAUUAAAAUCUAGCCAAUCUUAUGAAAAAAGUCAAUUACACAUCUCUGCCAAUAUUUGGCACUGACGUUAGGUUUUGCAAUUUUUCUGAAUGUAGUCACCCUUAUUUAUUUACUUAUUUUUGCAAACAUUGCUCGUCCAUUUGUUGAUUGAUCAAGCAACUGGUUUGGCUGUUUGAGACAGGCAGCUUCUGCUGGCUUCAGAGUCUCUGUGUAGCCAAGAAUGACUUUGUACAGGAGCCUGGCCUGGAGGCCUCCACCUGCCACGUGUUGGGAUUACAGGGUGUGCUACCACAUCUGGCUGACUUGUCUUUUUAAAUAAAGAAAGUUUGUACCUCUGUAA
rnacentral:lncRNA from 1 species